rnacentral:rRNA from 1 species
GAUGAACGCUGGCGGCGUGCCUAAUACAUGCAAGUCGAGCUAACGGAAGCGAAGCGCGCUUUUCUGAAGUUUGCGGCGGCGGGGGGAUGAAGCCGUGUAUAGCCUAUCUAUAAGACUGGAUUAACUGCGGGAAACCGGGGCUAACAGCGGAGAAUAUUUUGCACCGCAUUGUUCAAAUGUGCUACUGGGUUAUGCUUUCCCUUAUAGCUGGUUUCGCGCUGGAUUAGCUAGUUGGUGAGGUAACGGCUGACCAAGGCAACGUUGCGUAGCCGACCUCAUAGGCUGGUUCGCUACACUGGAACUGAGAGUCGGUCCAGACUCCUACGGGAGGAAGCAGUCGGGAAUCGUCCCGGAUGGGCGAAAGCCUGACGCAGCAACGCCGCGUGUGUCAAGAUGGUCUUCGGAUCGUAAAACUCUGUGAUUGGGGAAGAACACAUGUGUAGGAAGCAGCGGAGGUCUUGACGGAACCUACACAAAAAGCCACGGCUAACUGCGUG